rnacentral:rRNA from 1 species
AAGCUCCGAUGGAGGGGGAUAACUACUGGAAACGGUAGCUAAUACCGCAUAACGUCGCAAGACCAAAGAGGGGGACCUUGGGCCUCUUGCCAUCGGAUGUGCCCAGAUGGGAUUAGCUAGUAGGUGGGGUAAAGGCUCACCUAGGCGACGAUCCCUAGCUGGUCUGAGAGGAUGACCAGCCACACUGGAACUGAGACACGGUCCAG